rnacentral:rRNA from 1 species
UGCGUAGGGUGCGAGCGUUGUCCGGAAUUAUUGGGCGUAAAGAGCUCGUAGGCGGUCUGUCGCGUCGAUCGUGAAAACUUGGGGCUUAACCCUGAGCUUGCGGUCGAUACGGGCAUGACUGGAGUUCGGCAGGGGAGACUGGAAUUCCUGGUGUAGCGGUGAAAUGCGCAGAUAUCAGGAGGAACACCGGUGGCGAAGGCGGGUCUCUGGGCCGAUACUGACGCUGAGGAGCGAAAGCGUGGGGAGCGAACAGG